GGGAGUGAUCGGAUCUAUAACUGUUGAGAAUGCGUAUAUCAUAAACAUGUUGAUUAAGGCCUUGCGAUAUUAAAAAGAAAUCCAAUCUUGCUUGUUUAAUGGGAUUAUUUUUUUUCUCCAUGUAAAUUUUUUUAGUUCAGGGUACAAUUCCCUAUAGGGAUCUGUUAAAUCAUAAUUUUCUAUUAUAUUUAAAACUUUCUCUUUGGCUUUUGG
rnacentral:lncRNA from 1 species